rnacentral:rRNA from 1 species
GUGCCAGCAGCCGCGGUAAUACGGAGGGGGCUAGCGUUGUUCGGAAUUACUGGGCGUAAAGCGCACGUAGGCGGAUCAGAAAGUUGGGGGUGAAAUCACCGGGGCUCAACCUCGGAACUGCCUUCAAAACUAUUGGUCUUGAGCUCGAGAGAGGUGAGUUGAAUUCCGAGUGUAGAGGUGAAAUUCGUAGAUAUUCGGAGGAACACCAGUGGCGAAGGCGGCUCACUGGCUCGAUACU